rnacentral:rRNA from 1 species
ACCAUGCAAGUCGAGCGGCAGCACGGGUACUUGUACCUGGUGGCGAGCGGCGGACGGGUGAGUAAUGCCUAGGAAUCUGCCUGGUAGUGGGGGAUAACGCUCGGAAACGGACGCUAAUACCGCAUACGUCCUACGGGAGAAAGCAGGGGACCUUCGGGCCUUGCGCUAUCAGAUGAGCCUAGGUCGGAUUAGCUAGUUGGUGAGGUAAUGGCUCACCAAGGCGACGAUCCGUAACUGGUCUGAGAGGAUGAUCAGUCACACUGGAACUGAGACACGGUCCAGACUCCUACGGGAGGCAGCAGUGGGGAAUAUUGGACAAUGGGCGAAAGCCUGAUCCAGCCAUGCCGCGUGUGUGAAGAAGGUCUUCGGAUUGUAAAGCACUUUAAGUUGGGAGGAAGGGCAGUUACCUAAUACGUAUCUGUUUUGACGUUACCGACAGAAUAAGCACCGGCUAACUCUGUGCCAGCAGCCGCGGUAAUACAGAGGGUGCAAGCGUUAAUCGGAAUUACUGGGCGUAAAGCGCGCGUAGGUGGUUUGUUAAGUUGAAUGUGAAAUCCCCGGGCUCAACCUGGGAACUGCAUCCAAAACUGGCAAGCUAGAGUAUGGUAGAGGGUGGUGGAAUUUCCUGUGUAGCGGUGAAAAUGCGUAUAUAUAGGAAGGAACACCAGCGGCGAAGGCGACCACCUGGACUGAUACUGACA